UAUGAAUUCUUCUUUUUUUAUAGCUCUACUACAAAGUUGAUACAGUAGGACAGAUUACAGAAAUAAGAAAACUGGCUUUUCUCAUCAGCAAUAGUGUGGCAAUUCUAAAAGUUCAACAUGCGGCCUACACAGCUAGCUCAUGUGGAGAAGAGAUAUGAGACUGGUUGCGAAUAAAUGUACACUUAGUUAAGUGCAUCAUGGAUCUACAAAGUGAAAUAUAUGUACCAAAAAUAUUAGUUUAUUCAUAACUAAGCCUUUUUCAGCACUGCAGUCAAUAGAACAAUGAUAGUGACAAGAAUUGAGACUAUUUCAUACCUCAAACUAUGGGAAAAUACUUCUUGAGAUCAGUUCUCUACUACAAAGUUGAUACAGUAGGACAGAUUACAGAAAUAAGAAAACUGGCUUUUCUCAUCAGCAAUAGUGUGGCAAUUCUAAAAGUUCAACAUGCGGCCUACACAGCUAGCUCAUGUGGAGAAGAGAUAUGAGACUGGUUGCGAAUAAAUGUACACUUAGUUAAGUGCAUCAUGGAUCUACAAAGUGAAAUAUAUGUACCAAAAAUAUUAGUUUAUUCAUAACUAAGCCUUUUUCAGCACUGCAGUCAAUAGAACAAUGAUAGUGACAAGAAUUGAGACUAUUUCAUACCUCAAACUAUGGGAAAAUACUUCUUGAGAUCAGUUCUCUACUACAAAGUUGAUACAGUAGGACAGAUUACAGAAAUAAGAAAACUGGCUUUUCUCAUCAGCAAUAGUGUGGCAAUUCUAAAAGUUCAACAUGCGGCCUACACAGCUAGCUCAUGUGGAGAAGAGAUAUGAGACUGGUUGCGAAUAAAUGUACACUUAGUUAAGUGCAUCAUGGAUCUACAAAGUGAAAUAUAUGUACCAAAAAUAUUAGUUUAUUCAUAACUAAGCCUUUUUCAGCACUGCAGUCAAUAGAACAAUGAUAGUGACAAGAAUUGAGACUAUUUCAUACCUCAAACUAUGGGAAAAUACUUCUUGAGAUCAGUUGUAAGUGGUUUUAUAUCAUGCAUGAAACAAUAAACUAAAGUAGUUUUAAACACUGUUGGAUAAUUUGUACACUGUACCAGAAAACUGACACAAUAAAAGUUAUUAAAUAUGAACACAAUCAUUUUUUUCUAAUUUUUUGGCAUUCAAAGCAGUAUGACGGCAAAAGACACAAAUAUUGCUAUAAUAAAUUUGGUCUUACAAAACCUAUAAAUGUUUUUUUUUGUGCUGUAACCAUAUGAAAUGCAUGUAUUUUUAAUGGUUAAUAACUCAAGAACUCAAUCAGACUAAAAAAAUGUAAAUAAAUUGUUUUCAAUGAGU